GAUGAACGCUGGCGGCGUGCCUAAUACAUGCCAGUCGAGCGAACAGACGAGGAGCUUGCUCCUCUGACGUUAGCGGCGGACGGGUGAGUAACACGUGGAUAACCUACCUAUAAGACUGGGAUAACUUCGGGAAACCGGAGCUAAUACCGGAUAAUAUAUUGCACCGCAUGGUUGAAUAGUGAAAGACGGUUUUGCUGGCACUUAUAGAUGGAUCCGCGCCGCAUUAGCUAGUUGGUAAGGUAACGGCUUACCAAGGCAACGAUGCGUAGCCCACCUGAGAGGGUGAUCGGCCACACUGGAACUGAGACACGGUCCAGACACCUACGGGAGGCAGCAGUAGGGAAUCUUCCGCAAUGGGCGAAAGCUUGACGGAGCAACGCCGCGUGAGUGAUGAAGGUCUUCGGAUCGUAAAACUCUGUUAUUAGGGAAGAACAAAUGUGUAAGUAACUAUGCACGUCUUGACGGUACCUAAUCAGAAAGCCACGGCUAACUACGUG
rnacentral:rRNA from 1 species